AAGUAAUUGAAGAAUAAAGUGUGUUACUUAUUAAAGGGAUGAUUAGUGCCUUUCCCCUUUAACCAGGAGCAUCAAUCUGCUGACAGGUGGAAACUUUCUUCCUGGGGAGAGGAAUCUUUCUGCUAUUGACUUGGAGCAAAGAUAGUGGAGGCAUGAAGAGACAUUACAGAAGAAGAUACAUUACAGAAAAAGACAUUUUAAGCAAAGCGAGGAAGUGGUUUUGCAGACAUUUGCACAAUGUGUUGAGCAUUAUGGAAGAAGGCCCAAAGGUAUGAUUUGAACAUUUAUCUACUAGGUCAUGGAAGCACCUGUAGUUGAUGCAGAUUUGGAUUUAACUGUGGAAAGUAGUAAACUUCAACUCUUUUGUCAGCCCCACUUGUGAGCCUUCCCUCGCGCUGAACGCUCCUGAGUUCCCAGCAUUGCUCUGCAGUUUCUAACUUAACAGCUCUCAGCACCACUGCAUCUCUUUCUAGUGGUACAAUAAAAGUACCUUUCAUUCUCAUGAAGCAGGACAGAAGAACAAACAAUGAGGAUAUCUAGUUA